rnacentral:rRNA from 1 species
AGAUUGAACGCUGGCGGCAUGCUUUACACAUGCAAGUCGUGCGGCAGCGCGGGGGCAACCCUGGCGGCGAGCGGCGAACGGGUGAGGAAUACAUCGGAACGUACCCCGGAGUGGGGGAUAACCCAGCGAAAGUUGGACUAAUACCGCAUAUGCUCUGAGGAGGAAAGCAGGGGACUUCGCAAGAGGCCUUGCGCUCUGGGAGCGGCCGAUGUCCGAUUAGCUAGUUGGUGGGUAAUGGCUCACCAAGGCGACGAUCGGUAGCUGGUCUGAGAGGAUGAUCAGCCACACUGGGACUGAGACACGGCCCAGACUCCUACGGGAGCAGCAGUGGGGAAUUUGGACAAGUGGGGCAA